ACUGACGCUGAGUCCCGAAAGCGUGGGGAGCACAUAGGAUUAGAUACCCUAGUAGUCCCCCGCCGUAAACGAUGAGUACUAAGUGUUGGGGGUCGAACCUCAGUGCUGCAGUUAACGCAAUAAGUACUCCGCCUGAGUAGUACGUUCGCAAGAAUGAAACUCAAAGGAAUUGACGGGGGCCCGCACAAGCGGUGGAGCAUGUGGUUUAAUUCGAAGCAACGCGAAGAACCUUACCAGGUCUUGACAUAUAUCUAAAGGCUCCAGAGAUGGAGAGAUAGUUAUAGAUAUACAGGUGGUGCAUGGUUGUCGUCAGCUCGUGUCGUGAGAUGUUGGGUUAAGUCCCGCAACGAGCGCAACCCUUGUCGUUAGUUACCAUCAUUAAGUUGGGGACUCUAACGAGACUGCCAGUGAUAAGCUGGAGGAAGGCGGGGAUGACGUCAAAUCAUCAUGCCCCUUAUGACCUGGGCUACACACGUGCUACAGUGGAUAGUGCAAAGGGAAGCGAGACCGCGAGGUGGAGCAAAACCCAUAAAACUAUUCUCAGUUCGGAUUGUAGUCUGCAACUCGACUACAUGAAGUUGGAAUCGCUAGUAAUCGUGAAUCAGCAUGUCACGGUGAAUACGUUCUCGGGCCUUGUACACACCGCCCGUCACACCAUGAGAGUUGAUAACACCCGAAGCCGGUGGCCUAACCGCAAGGAAGGAGCUGUUAAGGUGGGAUUGAUGAUUAGGGGAAGUCG
rnacentral:rRNA from 1 species